UACUUCCGUAGUUGAGAUUUUCGAUUCAUCACUAUUCUAAAUCUAAAACGUUAAAGAUUCUUGAAGUCGAACUAGCUAAUUGAAUAAAUAAGCAUAUUCCUGAGGUCCAAUCUCGAGUAUUGAAUAAAUGAGUUCCCCUGAUCAAGUCAAGCAUCUCACAGAGCUGAUGAAAUAUUUGGAAGAACAGAUACGAGUUAUGGAACCUGUUAUUGAAGUUAUGAAAAAUGCUGUAGAGAAAAGUAGGACUUGGGUAGAGGAUGAAAA